UUUUUCAAAAAAGCUUCUCAGCGGGGACAAAUACAGGUUCUCGUAAGUAUUAUUCGUCAGUGAAAUCUCCAAGUCAUAAGACGAAGAGGACUUUCUGCCCACUGUAAGAGUCAGAACACCCCACAGACCUGACUCCCUUCUUGUCUGGCUUGGGUGGCCUUUACAAGUACCCUGUCUAAGUUCGGGAGGGACCCGCCUGUUUCUCAGCUGCUCCCUUGAGCCCCUCAGCCAGCCUGGUGUGCGUUUGCAUUUUCAUUUCUGGGAAGCUGCAGCAGCCCUAGUCCUGCCUAGAGAGAAUGAACGUCUUCUGGGCUGGGGUGCCUGAGUGUUCUUGCUGUGAGGGAGCUGCGUGUGAACUCGUCCUCACCCGACACGGGGGGGGCCCAGCGUGUUCUGUCACCCACAGGGCCCCGGAACUGCAGUUCUACACAAGUGCUGCCGCGGUGGCCAUGCUCGUCCCGGCCCGGGUCUUCUUCACGGACGUCCCAGUGAUCGGGAGGAGCGGGAAGAGCUUCAGCUACAACCAGGACGUGGUGCUGCUGCUUCUGACAGACGGAGUCCUGUUCCACCUUCAGAGCGUCACGGCCUACGCCCUCAUGGGGAAAAUCUCCCCAGUGACUUUCAGCGUCGCCAGCACUGUGAAGCAUGCCUUGUCCAUCUGGCUCAGCGUAAUCGUUUUCGGCAACAAGAUCACCAGCUUGUCGGCCGUCGGCACAGCCCUGGUGACAGUUGGGGUCCUGCUCUACAACAAAGCAGGCAACACCAGCAGGAGGCGCUGCAGAGCCUGGCUGCAGCCAGUGGCCGGGCCCAGAGGACACGGUGGAGCCGCUGCUUCCACAGGACCCCAGGCAGCAUCCCUGAAAGCAGGAAGCUGCCAGCCGCUGCUGUCCUUGUGACACUACAUCCCCCGGAAAUGGGCAGGGACACCCUCCUCCAUGGCCCUGCUGGCGUGCAGGAUAUGGGGAGCUAAGUUGGCCAUUGCCUGCGGCUUUCUCGGUUUGUCGGUGAAGACCAGCAGAAACUCAAACUGGGGAUUCCAGGUAUCAGCUUCCUGGAGUAGAGACCAGACCAGUAGCUGACUGUCAGCUGAGCCCAUCCCCGUGUAAUGUGAAAACAGCCUCUGAGGCUCCCAUGCUGGGGGUGCCCACUUCCUCUCUGGGCGGCAUCCCAGGGUCCACUGGGAGUCAGAGCUCGGUCCAGUGCCAACGAGAGCUGCUCCCUGCUACAGCCAAGAGAACCCUCAGCUUCCCACACCAGCCAUCGAAGGACCUGAGGCCCUGGACUGGCUGCAGACUGGCCCUGGGCAUGAGGCCACAGAGCAGGGCCGAAGGGAGGGGACAGGGCCCUGGAAGGCCUGGGCUGCAUGAGCUCCCCCCAACCCCAGGGCACCCUGCCCUCCUACCUGUGGUGAUUUCCAGUCCUGAGGUUGACGACAAACCUCUCGUGUAUAACUUGGGAGGAGAUGUGUACAUUCCUUUUCUUUUUUGGACUCUUGAGUAUCAGGCAGGCUGUUCUGAGGUCCCCAUGGGUUAGCCUGUCUGUCCUCCCUCAGAGCCCACUGUUCCUAAUCUCAUCAUCCAGCACCUGUGGUUCCCCACGUGAGCCUUGGGCAAGACGCUGCAGUGUUGAUGGUUUGGUUACGUGGCGUUUACCUGGGCGCCAUCCUUGCUGAAAAAGGAAACGUCCACACUGAAUGUUUCUGGGCGCGUGGUGUGUGUCAGGCGCCCACCCCGUCCACUGUCCCCAAGGGACUGUAGUACUGCACGCUGGGGCCACCAGCCAGCUCAACUCAUCCUCCUGUGUCACGCACCCCCGAGGGCGCAGGAGGCCUGAGGAGGCUACUGGAGCCGUGUGUCAGGCAGAGGCUUCUGACCGUGUCUGAGCUCUUUACCCCCAAUCUCACAGCUGGCGGAUUCCCAUGCCCGGUGCAGCCUGUUGCCAGCCAGCCUUUGAGACCCAGAGCUCCAGGGCUUGUCAGAGGCAGCGUGGGGCUCCAGUGGUCCCGAGUCUCAUUUCCCUACCUGCUCUUUAGGCCUUUGGCACCCAUGGUCACUUCACUGGUUUUCCAUUUGGCUUCUCACCUGGGAAAUACAAAAUAGCCCUCCUGAAGAUAAAAUCGUUCCGAAACAGAGCAAUAAUUCUGACUCAUUAACUUCUACCUACUUGAAAAAGUCUGCCAUGAUCAUGGACCGAAAUGAGGCUUUUUAACCCACAAGUAAUCUUUUUAUUUUUUUGAGACAGUCUUGCUUUGUCUGUCACCCAGGCCGGAGUACAGUGACAUGAUCUUGGCUCACUGCAGCCUCGACUUCCUGGGCGCAAGUGAUCCUCCCACCUCAGCCUCCAGUGGCUGGAAACACAGGCACGUGCCACUAUGCCUGGCUAUUUUUUUGUUGAGCUGGGCUCUCACUUUGUUGCCCAGGCUGGUCUUGAACGCCUCAGCUCAAGCAGUCCUUCCCACUCAGCCUCCCAUAGUGUUGGGAAUAUAGGCGUGCACUACUACACCUGCUUCAGCUGCUUGUAUAAAACAGCUGACCUGUGUGUGGAGGACAGGCCAUGUGUGUGCUCACUGCUCUGCAAAGAUGUUUUGUCACGUGACUUUCCCCGCGUUUCCAUUUCUCUUUUUCUGCUUUCCUCA
rnacentral:sRNA from 1 species